CGGAGAACUGAAACAUCUUAGUACCCGGAGGAAGAGAAAGAAAAAUCGAUUCCCUGAGUAGCGGCGAGCGAAACGGGAAGAGCCCAAACCAACAAGCUUGCUUGUUGGGGUUGUAGGACACUCUAUACGGAGUUACAAAAGAACAUGUUAGACGAAUCAUCUGGAAAGAUGAAUCAAAGAAGGUAAUAAUCCUGUAGUCGAAAACAUAUUCUCUCUUGAGUGGAUCCUGAGUACGACGGAGCACGUGAAAUUCCGUCGGAAUCUGGGAGGACCAUCUCCUAAGGCUAAAUACUCUCUAGUGACCGAUAGUGCACAAGUACCGUGAGGGAAAGGUGAAAAGUACCCCGGAAGGGGAGUGAAAGAGAACUUGAAACCGUGUGCUUACAAGUAGUCAGAGCCCGUUAAUGGGUGAUGGCGUGCCUUUUGUAGAAUGAACCGGCGAGUUACGAUCUGAUGCAAGGUUAAGCAGCAAAUGUGGAGCCGUAGCGAAAGCGAGUCUGAAUAGGGCGUUGAGUAUUUGGUCGUAGACCCGAAACCAGGUGAUCUACCCUUGGUCAGGUUGAAGUUCAGGUAACACUGAAUGGAGGACCGAACCGACUUACGUUGAAAAGUGAGCGGAUGAACUGAGGGUAGCGGAGAAAUUCCAAUCGAACUUGGAGAUAGCUGGUUCUCUCCGAAAUAGCUUUAGGGCUAGCCUCAAGUGAUGAUUAUUGGAGGUAGAGCACUGUUUGGACGAGGGGCCCCUCUCGGGUUACCGAAUUCAGACAAACUCCGAAUGCCAAUUAAUUUAACUUGGGAGUCAGAACAUGGGUGAUAAGGUCCGUGUUCGAAAGGGAAACAACCCAGACUACCAGCUAAGGUCCCUAAAUCUUACUUAAGUGGAAAACGAUGUGAAGUUACUUAAACAACCAGGAGGUUGGCUUAGAAGCAGCCAUCCUUUAAAGAAAGCGUAAUAGCUCACUAGUCGAGUGACACUGCGCCGAAAAUGUACCGGGGCUAAACAUAUUACCGAAGCUGUGGAUUGUCCUUUGGACAAUGGUAGGAGAGCGUUCUAAGGGCGUCGAAGCAUGAUCGCAAGGACAUGUGGAGCGCUUAGAAGUGAGAAUGCCGGUGUGAGUAGCGAAAGACGGGUGAGAAUCCCGUCCACCGAUUGACUAAGGUUUCCAGAGGAAGGCUCGUCCGCUCUGGGUUAGUCGGGUCCUAAGCUGAGGCCGACAGGCGUAGGCGAUGGAUAACAGGUUGAUAUUCCUGUACCACCUAGUAUCGUUUUAAUCGAUGGGGGGACGCAGUAGGAUAGGCGAAGCGUGCUGUUGGAGUGCACGUCCAAGCAGUAAGGCUGAGUGUUAGGCAAAUCCGGCACUCAUAAGGCUGAGCUGUGAUGGG
rnacentral:rRNA from 1 species